rnacentral:rRNA from 1 species
AUUGAACGCUGGCGGCAUGCUUUACACAUGCAAGUCGAACGGUAACAGGGUGCUUGCACCGCUGACGAGUGGCGAACGGGUGGGUAAUGCGUCGGAACGUGCCGAGUAGUGGGGGAUAACGUAGCGAAAGUUGUGCUAAUACCGCAUACGUACUGAGGUAGAAAGUGGGGGACCUUCGGGCCUCACGCUAUUCGAGCGGCCGACGUCUGAUUAGCUAGUAGGUGAGGUGAAGGCUCACCCAGGCGACGAUCAGUAGCGGGUCUGAGAGGAUGAUCCGCCACACUGGGACUGAGACACGGCCCAGACUCCUACGGGAGGCAGCAGUGGGGAAUUUUGGACAAUGGGCGAAAGCCUGAUCCAGCCAUGCCGCGUGUCUGAAGAAGGCCUUCGGGUUGUAAAGGACUUUUGUCAGGGAGGAAAUCCCUAGUGCUAAUAACACUGGGGGAUGACAGUACCUGAAGAAUAAGCACCGGCUAACUACGUGCCAGCCGCCGCAGUAA